UCUCCUUCGGCGGGGCGACCCGCCGCUGGAACCACAUCAAAACCUUUUUGCAUACAGCAUUACCUGUUCCGAUACCUAUAAUCGUUACAACUUUCAACAAUGGAUCUCUUGGCUCUGGCAUCGAUGAAGAACGCAGCGAAAUGCGAUAAGUAGUGUGAAUUGCAGAAUUCAGUGAAUCAUCGAAUCUUUGAACGCACAUUGCGCCCCUUGGUAUUCCAUGGGGCAUGCCUGUUCGAGCGUCAUCUACACCCUCAAGCUCUGCUUGGUGUUGGGCGUCUGUUCCGCCUCCGCGCGGGACUCGCCCCAAAGGCAUUGGCAGCGGUCUCUUGCACCUCUCGCGCAGCACAUUGCGCUUCUCGAGGCGAGGCAGGCCGCGACCACGAAGCCACACAUCGUCUUUGACCUCGGAUCAGGUAGGGAUACCCGC
rnacentral:rRNA from 1 species